UACGUAGGGGCCGAGCGUUGUCCGGAGUUAUUGGGCGUAAAGCGCGCGCAGGCGGCUUGGCGCGCCCGACGUGAAAGCCCCCGGCUUAACCGGGGAGAGUCGUCGGGGACGGCCGGGCUUGAGGGCGGGAGAGGGUGGUGGAAUUCCCGGUGUAGUGGUGAAAUGCGUAGAGAUCGGGAGGAACACCUGUGGCGAAGGCGGCCACCUGGGCCGACCCUGACGCUGAGGCGCGAAGGCGUGGGGAGCGAAAGGG
rnacentral:rRNA from 1 species